UACGGGGGGAGCAAGCGUUGUUCGGAUUUACUGGGCGUAAAGGGCGCGUAGGCGGCCUGUGCAAGUCAGUUGGGAAAUCUCCGGGCUUAACCCGGAAAGGUCAGCCGAUACUGCGGGGCUAGAGUGCAGAAGGGGCAACUGGAAUUCUCGGUGUAGCGGUGAAAUGCGUAGAUAUCGAGAGGAACACCUGCGGCGAAGGCGGGUUGCUGGGCUGACACUGACGCUGAGGCGCGAAAGCUAGGGGAGCGAACGGG
rnacentral:rRNA from 1 species